rnacentral:RNase_P_RNA from 1 species
GGGAGAGAGAGCCCGGCUGCCGCGAUGGCCGGACCGGCAACGGCCGGCCACCGUACGUGAUCCAUCCCGUCAGGGUGCAUCACGCCCGCGAGGAAAGUCCCCCCACCCGUUUGGGCAGGUGACCGGACGCAAGUCCGGAGCGCGAGACCGCUGGCUCUGGAACAGAAACGACACGUCUCGGCCCGACCGAUGACGCGUGCGACCCCGACCGCAAGGAAGGGUAGCUAACCCGCAGAGGGACGCGGUCUCCUGACCGCGAACCGCGAGCGGCCUCAACCGCGCGCAUUCCCGCAGUCGAACACCGCGGUUCGAAACCGCAGACCGUGUUCGGUUCUCGAUGUGAGAACACAGACCGCGUGGCGGGACACCCGCCGAACGCGUGGCACGGUCGGCUGCGGAGAGACGGCCGAGGAUCGAUGGAACGGCGAAUCCUCACCGGUGCAAGUCCGUCCCGUGGUAGCCCGAACGACCCGCGGUUCGCCGCGGACGGGGCGGACGCUCAGCCGAAUGCCGGGUCGAACAGAAGGGGGCUUACUCCUCUCACCC